rnacentral:rRNA from 1 species
UACGUAGGGGGCAAGCGUUGUCCGGAAUCAUUGGGCGUAAAGAGCGUGUAGGCGGUCCGGUCAGUCGGUUGUGAAAGUCAAGGGCUCAACCCUUGAAUGCCGGCCGAUACUGCCGGGCUAGAGUCCGGAAGAGGUGAGUGGAAUUCCUGGUGUAGCGGUGAAAUGCGCAGAUAUCAGGAGGAACACCGAUGGCGAAGGCAGCUCACUGGGACGGUACUGACG